AGGACCCUAUUCCACACGCAACAGAUCCCCUCCAUGGAAGGACCCUAUUCCACACGCAACAGAUCCCCUCCAUGGAAGGACCCUAUUCCACACGCAACAGAUCCCCUCCAUGGAAGGACCCUAUUCCACACGCAACAGAGCUGAUCCCCUCCAUGGAAGGACCCUAUUCCACACGCAACAGAUCCCCUCCAUGGAAGGACCCUAUUCCACACGCAACAGAUCCCCUCCAUGGAAGGACCCUAUUCCACACGCAACAGAGCUGAUCCCCUCCAUGGAAGGACCCUAUUCCACACGCAACAGAUCCCCUCCAUGGAAGGACCCUAUUCCACACGCAACAGAGCUGAUCCCCUCCAUGGAAGGACCCUAUUCCACACGCAACAGAGCUACUUCCCCUCCAUGGAAGGACCCUAUUCCACACGCAACAGAGCUGAUCCCCUCCAUGGAAGGACCCUAUUCCACACGCAACAGAUCCCCUCCAUGGAAGGACCCUAUUCCACACGCAACAGAGCUGAUCCCCCUCCAUGGAAGGACCCUAUUCCACACGCAACAGAGCCCCUCCAUGGAAGGACCCUAUUCCACACGCAACAGAGCUGAUCCCCCUCCAUGGAAGGACCCUAUUCCACACGCAACAGAGCUGAUCCCCUCCAUGGAAGGACCCUAUUCCACAUGCAACAGAUCUGAUCCAUGGAAAAGACUAAAUUCUCAUAUUUCAGAGUCCCAUCUUUAUGAGAUUCUGUCUCUGCAUAAUGUAUAGAGUCCCCUCCCUCUCUAUCAUAAUACCUGGAUCGUUCUUCACCAUUAUCUCUCCAUAUCCGUUCUUGCUUGGUUUGUUGUAACAGUAUUUUUAUUGGGAGU
rnacentral:lncRNA from 1 species